rnacentral:rRNA from 1 species
UACGUAUGUGGCGAGCGUUGUCCGGAUUUACUGGGCGUAAAGGGAGCGUAGGCGGACUUUUAAGUGAGAUGUGAAAUACUCGGGCUCAACUUGAGUGCUGCAUUUCAAACUGGAAGUCUAGAGUGCAGGAGAGGAGAAUGGAAUUCCUAGUGUAGCGGUGAAAUGCGCAGAGAUUAGGAAGAACACCAGUGGCGAAGGCGAUUCUCUGGACUGUAACUGACGCUGAGGCUCGAAAGCGUGGGGAGCAAACAGG